CCCUACGGGGUGCAGCAGGCCUUGCAAAGGCUAUAAAAGAAUUGUACUUUAGCAGAAACCUUAUCUAUAGUGAAAAAAUCCUGGAUAUAUCUCAUCACCAACAAACGCAACGGGGUUCUCUAUACCGGGAUGACAGCCCACCUGAAAGAUCGCAUUACAAAUCAUAAAAUCAAAAAGUAUAAAAAUGCUUUUUCUGCCAGAUACAAUUUAUGCAAGCUGGUUUAUUAUGAAGAGUUUGAUGACAUAAGAAAGGCAUAUGCGCGGGAAGCCCAGAUUAAGGCAGGUUCCCGCAUAAAAAAAAUUAAGCUGAUCGAAUCAGUGAACCCCGAAUGGAAAGAUCUUUUUGAAACACUUGAAUGAAAAAUUAACGGGAUUUCUUCGCACUCCUGCGGGCGGUGUGGGUCCCUGGCGGGGGGGC
rnacentral:rRNA from 1 species